rnacentral:rRNA from 1 species
GAUGAACGCUGGCGGCGUGCUUAACACAUGCAAGUCGAACGGAAAGGCCCUGCUUUUGUGGGGUGCUCGAGUGGCGAACGGGUGAGUAACACGUGAGUAACCUGCCCUUGACUUUGGGAUAACUUCAGGAAACUGGGGCUAAUACCGGAUAGGAGCUCCUGCUGCAUGGUGGGGGUUGGAAAGUUUCGGCGGUUGGGGAUGGACUCGCGGCUUAUCAGCUUGUUGGUGGGGUAGUGGCUUACCAAGGCUUUGACGGGUAGCCGGCCUGAGAGGGUGACCGGCCACAUUGGGACUGAGAUACGGCCCAGACUCCUACGGGAGGCAGCAGUGGGGAAUAUUGCACAAUGGGCGGAAGCCUGAUGCAGCAACGCCGCGUGCGGGAUGACGGCCUUCGGGUUGUAAACCGCUUUCGCCUGUGACGAAGCGUGAGUGACGGUAAUGGGUAAAAAAGCACCGGCUAACUACGUG